rnacentral:lncRNA from 10 species
GACAUCAGUAUAAUAAGCCCAACGGGAGAAUGAUAUGGCAAUUUCUAAAUUUCCUAGAAGGAUCGCUCAGGAGGAUGGGCUUGAGCAGGCUGCCUUCCAUGUCACACCACCACUGGGCACAUUUUGUUUUUUGGCAACUGCCCCAACAGGGUCACAGAAAGGAUUAUUUCACACUUUAAGAGAAAGUGACUCAGGGUUGUUGGAAGGGGUGCCUGGUCCCCGGGCCAUGGACUGGUACCAGUUUGCGGACUGUUACGAACUGGGCGGCACAGCAGGAGGCAAGAGGCAGGUGAGUGAGCAUUCCCACCUGAGCUCCCCCUCUUGUCAGAUCAGCCUUGGCAUUCGAUUCUCAUAGAAGAGUGAACCCUAUUAUGAACUGCGCAGGCAAGGGAUCUAGGUGGUGCAUUCCUUAUGAGAACCUAAUGUCUGAUAAUCUGAGAUGGAACAGUUUCAUCCCCAAACCAACCCUGCUGGCCUGUGGAAAAAUUGUCUCCCAUGAAACCAGUCCCUGGUGCCAAAAAGGUUGGGGACCACUGGUCUGUAAUUUGUAAUAUUGAGAGAAAUUGGGGAAAACAAAGAUUUUUCAGAAUCCAAAGUGUAAACUGAUCUAGUGUAAAAGAUUUAUAGCAAAUAACAGACCCAAAAGCCUUAGUUUAAGGCCAGUAAGAAAUCAAAAUCAUAAGAAGAAUGAGGCUAGGGUAAACCCAACCCAGGAAAAUAGCUCUGAGUAGACGCUAAAAGGAAUUUGACUUGAGAGGCAGAUAUGGAAACACUUCUCUACCAUGAUCUAAGGAUCUGAAAUGAGCAACUCAAUUUUCCUGGUGAAAAUAUUCAAACUCCAUCGUUUGCAAUUCAGUUCCCUUUAUGAGAUGGCCCAACCUCUGUUUGUUUCCUAGUCACUUCUUUCAUAGCCAGUGUGUAUCCAAUGAGUAGACCUAUGGGCCACUCUU